rnacentral:tRNA from 1 species
GGGCGCGUGGCCUAGAGGAUAUGGCGGCAGCCUCCUAAGCUGUAGGUCGGGGGUUCAAUUCCCUCCGCGCCCG